rnacentral:rRNA from 1 species
UACGUAGGGGGCAAGCGUUGUCCGGAAUUAUUGGGCGUAAAGAGCGUGUAGGCGGUCCGGUAAGUCAGCUGUGAAAGUCAAGGGCUCAACCCUUGAAUGCCGGUUGAUACUGUCGGGCUAGAGUCCGGAAGAGGCGAGUGGAAUUCCCGGUGUAGCGGUGAAAUGCGCAGAUAUCGGGAGGAACACCUGAGGCGAAGGCGGGCUACUGGGCCGAUACUGACGCUGAUGUGCGAAAGCCAGGGGAGCGAACGGG